GAUUAAAGAUUCGCCGGGAUAACAGGUUCUUGAGUCCAGAGAGCUCAUAUUGUAGGAUUCUGUUGGCACCUCCAUGUCGGCUCAUUA
rnacentral:rRNA from 1 species